rnacentral:lncRNA from 1 species
AUUUACCAGAUGUCAUCCCACUGUUCCUGGGUCAGUGUGAUAAUGGGAGUGAUGGGGAAAGGCAAGGUGUGUUUGGGGACCUUCCCACCCACUGGAAACCGGAGGAGUAGAGAGGUUGAAGAGCCUGUCCUACGUUUGACAACUCAAGUGGAGAUGUCUUGUGGUAGCCACCCACCAAUCUACACAGCCAUUGUCUAGUUAUAUCCAGGAU